AUUGAACGCUGGCGGAAGGCCUAACACAUGCAAGUCGAGCGGAGCGGCGGACGGGUGAGUAAUGCCUAGGAAUCUGCCUGGUAGUGGGGGAUAACGUCCGGAAAUGGGCGCUAAUACCGCAUACUAUUAGAUGAGCCUAGGUCGGAUUGGCUAGUUGGUGGGGUAAAGGCCUACCAGGGCGACGAUCCGUAACUGGUCUGAGAGGCUGAUCAGUCACACUGGAACGGAGACACGGUCCAGACUCCUACGGGAGGCAGCAGUGGGGAAUAUUGGACAAUGGGCGAAAGCCUGAUCCAGCCAUGCCGCGUGUGUGAAGAAGGUCUUCGGAUUGUAAAGCACUUUCAGCGGGGAGGCGUUACCCGCAGAAGAAGCACCGGCUAACUCCGUGCCAGCCGCCGCGGUAAUUC
rnacentral:rRNA from 1 species